AUGUUUGAAUAUAUCUCUGCUUAUUCAAGGUUUCCUAUGAUCGACUAUUGUUACUUUCUUAAAAUUGCAUUCUUUAGGUGUAGAAGCGGGACUACCUUUGUUCUUUUGCUGAAGAUCCUCUACAAUUCCUUUAUUAGUAAUUUUAUCAAAUUAGAAUGUUCACUACACUUCAUGCAUAGAGAACUGAAAAGACAUCUUGGAGCUUGA